AAUGAACGUUGGCGGCAUGGAUUAGGCAUGCAAGUCGAGCGAGAAACCUUUUUGCUUGCAUUAAGGUGGACAGCGGCGAAAGGGAGAGUAACGCGUAGAAAUGUACCCCGAGGUCUGGGAUAGCUGUGGGAAACCGCAGGUAAUACCGGAUAAUGUCUCCGGACCAAAGUUUUUCGCCUUGGGAGCAGUCUGCGUACUAUUAGGUUGUUGGUGGGGUAAAGGCCUACCAAGCCUCAGAUGGUUAGCGGGCGUGAGAGCGUGGCCCGUCUCACUGGGACUGAGACACUGCCCAGACAUCUACGGAUGGCUGCAGUCGAGAAUCUUCCGCAAUGGGCGAAAGCCUGACGGAGCAAUGCCGCGUGGUGGAUGAAGGCCCUCGGGUUGUAAACACCUGUCAGUAGGGAGGAAAUUUUGACCGAUCUACAGAGGAAGUCCGGGCUAAGUACG
rnacentral:rRNA from 1 species